UCUGAUAGUGCAGCCCUAAGCAGGUGGUAAACUCCAUCUAAGGCUAAAUAUGACCACGAGACCGAUAGAAAACAAGUACCGUGAGGGAAAGUUGAAAAGGACUUUGUAGAGAGAGUUCAAGAGUACGUGAAACCGUUCAGGGGUAAACGGAAAAGACUUUAAGCACCGAAAGGGGAGAUUCACGCUUUCUCGCAUGAGUCGGCUCCCGUGCGGUCAGAUGGCGCCGUUCGCCCGCUCGGAGCAAUCCGUUGCGGGGUCGUUUCGGUGAUCACUCGACCCGUGCGGGGGUUAUGCCGGCCGCGGUGAGCCGCACUUCUCCCUCAGUAGGACGUAGCGACCCGUUGGUCGGCGGUCGACGGCCCCGGGUGGAGCCCGUCGCCAGGUCUUCGGACCUCGGUCGGCGGACCCCGGGAUACCUGACCGAUCGACAGACGGUCUGAAAUGCAGGUGUUGUACCGCCCCCCCUGGCGGCAGGGCGUCCGGGUCGGCGCAAGCUUGGGUUCGUGUCAGGAUGACGGACUUCGGUCCGGCUCUUGCACGUCCCGGCUGUUGGUGUCGCAUCCUCGGACGGUGUAGUAUAACACCGGUCGGCUACGGCAGUUUAAGGUACUUAUCCGACCCGUCUUGAAACACGGACCAAGGAGUCUAACAUGUGCGCGAGUCAUUUGGUUUUCAAACCAAAAGGCGAUGAAAA
rnacentral:rRNA from 1 species